rnacentral:lncRNA from 1 species
AUUGUUUGCCAGCAAAGUUCAUCUGUCAUGAUCUUCGUUUUCCUUUUCCGACACCAUGAGUCAUCUCGUGGUCUCGAAAUUUGUUAGAGAAGUGUUUUUUUUUUAAAUUUAAUGUUGGUGUGAGAGAGGGAAAUUAUAUUUGAGUACUUUCAAUUUCACGGACAAGAAGAGGCUUUCUGAACUCGCUUUUUAGACAAAUUCUGCUGGCAUUACCUAUACAAAAAUUUAAGGAGUCAAAGCAUCAUUCAUUCUUAUUUCCUCCAACAUAUAAACAUUUAAGCAUUACCUAUACAAAAUUUCCUCCAACAUCUCAUACAAAAAUAAAAAAUAAAUAAUAAAUAAAACUAUGAACAAACGUAACCCAUGUUCAAAGAUUGAAAAUUCAUCUAGUUUGAUGUUGUGAGUUUUAAGUAACAUAUAAAAUUAUAAAACUUAAAAAACCAAAUUACUAAAUAGUUAUAUAUGUAAAUCUUUUAUUUUUUAUUUUUUUAACAAACGAUAUUAUCUACAGUAAGGGGAAAGUGGUGGGCUAAGCCUUAUAAUAAGUUAGCAAUAAUGUGGUUCAAAUUCGCUUUUGACGAGAAUCAAACCUAAAACUUCUCACUUACAAGUGAAGAAUAAUACUACCAAACCGUAGUACUAAGUGACUUUUAUUCUCUUAAUGUACACAAAAGACACACAUUACAUGCGUAAAUGCACGUUGUAUGAUAUAAUAUUAUAUGGUUCAUGUCCUUUGUGUUUCUCUACUUCUUUUCUUAGUGGACACCUCAUCUAAUUUGGGUUGCAGUCAAAGCCCGCAAGUGAAUGAAGUGCCAAUGUAAGUACUCGGUCGAGCGGCCCUUCUUUUUGGGUGCUCCUAAGCCCAAUUUAUUGUCUCAUUUUCUCGUCUACUUCCCCUUUUCACCCAACAUAA